rnacentral:rRNA from 1 species
UACGAAGGGGGCUAGCGUUACUCGGAUUGACUGGGCGUAAAGGGCGCGUAGGCGGUUUGUACAGUCAGACGUGAAAUCCCACGGCUUAACCGUGGAACUGCUUGGUAUACUGGCGGUCUUGAGCCAGCUAGGGGCUACCGGAACAAAUGGUGGAGCGGUGAAAUGCGUAGAUAUCAUUUGGAACGCCAAUGGUGAAAACAGGUAGCUGGGGCUGUGCUGACGCUGAGACACGAAAGCCAGGGGAGCAAACGGG